UUUGGUUAUAAAUAAUUGUUAGUGGCAGACGGGUGAGUAAUGCGUAGGAAUCUACCUAGUAGUAUGGAAUAGCCAUUAGAAAUGAUGGGUAAUACUGUAUAAUCCCUGCGGGGGAAAGAUUUAUCGCUAUUAGAUGAGCCUACGUUAGAUUAGCUAGUUGGUAAGGUAAUGGCUUACCAAGGCUAUGAUCUAUAGCUGGUCUGAGAGGACGAUCAGCCACACUGGAACUGAGAUACGGUCCAGACUCCUACGGGAGGCAGCAGUGGGGAAUAUUGGACAAUGGGCGAAAGCCUGAUCCAGCUAUGCCGCGUGAGUGAAGAAGGCCUUCGGGUUGUAAA
rnacentral:rRNA from 1 species